AGUUCUACUGUACAUGCUGGAGAUCCGGGGAUUUGAAUGUCAAGAUCGAUUUGUUUAUUUAUUGCUGAACUUAUCCUAACUGACUCAAUAACAAAUCUAAUCAUGUUGGGUCCUGGGAGGGGAAAAAAAUCCUCAUUAUGUAUUUUCUCUGCGUUCGAUUUAACUGUAUACGAAGCUGCAAAUAUCAAUAAUAUCUAGUAAUUACU